rnacentral:lncRNA from 1 species
GGAAGGCUGACUGGGACAAUAUGUGAUCUUUUUUAAAACACUCCCGCUCCUCUCAGAAUGGAUUUGAGACAGCCGAGAGGUGGACUCAGAAGGUUGGCCAGGCUGGGUGGGCAGGAUUCUCGCAGCAGCUGCGACAGCGGCUGCCAGCACCAGGCUCCUGGGUCAGGAGUGUGGUGUCCUGAUCCGUAGGGGUCUGACAGGCUCAGCUGCAUACAGACAGGC